UUUGUAACAAAGAAGGAACCUCAUCCCAUGAUACGUUGUGUUUGUUCGAUGCAUGGAAACUGAUUUAAUGGGGAUUAAAAGGCAUUUAAAAGGAACCCAUAAUGCUACAUGUGAACUGUUCCUUAAGUCCACUCUCCCUCUCAAACUGAAUAAGAAUAUCAACAUUGGCAAAUGGACAAGCACAGGCAGGUAUGUGUAUGUGUGUGUGUAUUCCACAAUAAUUGAAAGCUAUGUUUAAAUAGGUAUCACACUGCAAAUCAUGCAGAAAUUGUUAUCACUUUGCAGUUUACGAUGUUGCCCUCAGAAAAUGACAUAUUGGUGAAUUGUAUUAUCUGGGAUUUGAUAGGAUAAUAUUAAAAAAAGGAUAAAGCCUAAUAAUUUUUUUUCUUAUUGCUUGUUAAUAAGCAUUAUGCUCCAGAACUAUAUAGCUAAUGAUGGGUUUAAUUUUAUCAGCAGUGGGAAAAAAGAUAUGAUAAAAGUUGGAAGAAAGAGAAAGAAAAUGUUGCAGGUGUUUACAAUGGGGACUUGCUGUUGCGGUUCGGCCUUUGGUGGAAGUGGCUGAUCAAAAACAUCCUGCAACAUGGUGUAUCCCCUGGCAAGAGGUAAUGAAGCCAGCCCAGAAAGUUAAGAAAAUAGAAUAUGUAGACAAAAAGGUAUAUGUGGAGGGAGAGAUGGUACAUAUAUAAUUGUAGUAAGAAGUGGAAAAUGUUGGAAAAUUGUGUUGAGAGACACGUGUGUCGGAGAAGGGAGAGAAAGAAGGGGAAGUUAUGUGAUAAGAGGUUAGUUAGCUAGGAUGAUGGAGAGUAUGAGGGUCUCAAAGACUGAAAGAAUUAGUUAUGUUGAUAUAUAGGGCCAUUGCCUUGUCCCUUUAGGCGUCAGCCUGGCGUCAACGCGACACACACGCUGCCCCAUUCAUUCAUUCACUGCAACACUUGGAUUUUCUGUUGACCAAGCCUUUCCCACACUCUCUCUCUUUCUUUAUAUUCUUUUUUUUUUUUCUAAUAUUCUUAUAUACUGAUUACAAAAUAUUCUAUCACAUACCAAAUUUUUUUACCCUUUAUUUAACUAAUUUUAAUGGGUCACAACCUGCGAGCUAAUCCGGCUCACCACGCGUUUGGAUCGAGUUGGGUUUGAAGAAAUUAAAUUUUUUUAUGUGGGUCAAAUUUCAAUCUGAUUCAUUUAAAUCCGGUUCAUGCGAGUUGAACCCAUGGUGGAUCGGGUUGACCCGUCAAUUCACCUAUAUAAUUUUAUUUUUUUAAUUUAUUAUUUUAUUUAUGAAACUUAUGACAUAUAAGAAACUUAUUUGUAUGUUUUUUGUGUUUGUUUUUG
rnacentral:lncRNA from 1 species